AGUUGCCUACGGGGGGCAGCAGUGAGGAAUAUUGGUCAAUGGACGCAAGUCUGAACCAGCCAUGCCGCGUGCAGGAAGACGGCUCUAUGAGUUGUAAACUGCUUUUGUACGAGGGUAAACGCAGAUACGUGUAUCUGUCUGAAAGUAUCGUACGAAUAAGGAUCGGCUAACUCCGCGCCAGCAGCCGCGGUAGUACGGAGGAUUCAAGCGUUAUCCGGAUUUAUUGGGUUUAAAGCGUGCGUAGGCGGUCGGAUCAGUUAGAGGUGAAAUCC
rnacentral:rRNA from 1 species